rnacentral:rRNA from 1 species
CCCUUAGAUGUUCUGGGCCGCACGCGUGCUACACUGAGUGGAUCAGCGGGUCAGGUUGCGCGAAAGCGUUUCCUAAUCUUUAAAUCCGCUCGUGAUGGGGAUUGACGGUUGCAAUUUUCUGUCAUGAACGAGGAAUACCUUGUAAGCGCGGGUCAUCAUCCCGCGCUGAAUACGUCCCUGCCCUUUGUACACACCGCCCGUCGCUCCUACCGAUUGAGUGUUCCGGUGAAUAAUUCGGACUGCAGUAGCGUGGGGACUCCUCACCUGCAGCGGAAAGUUUGGUGAACCUUAACACUUAGAGGAAGGAGAAGUCGUAACA